rnacentral:rRNA from 1 species
CAGCCGCCGCGGUAAUACGUAGGGUGCGAGCGUUAAUCGGAAUUACUGGGCGUAAAGCGUGCGCAGGCGGUUUUGUAAGUCAGGCGUGAAAUCUCCGGGCUCAACCUGGGAAUGGCGCUUGUGACUGCAAAGCUAGAGUGCGGCAGAGGGGGAUGGAAUUCCGCGUGUAGCAGUGAAAUGCGUAGAUAUGCGGAGGAACACCGAUGGCGAUGGCAAUCCCCUGGGCCUGCACUGACGCUCAUGCACGAAAGCGUGGGGAGCAAACAGGAUUAGAUACCCGCGUAGUCCCUGUCUCUUAUAC